rnacentral:rRNA from 1 species
GAUGAACGCUGGCGGCGUGCCUAAUACAUGCAAGUCGAGCGAACAGACGAGGAGCUUGCUCCUCUGACGUUAGCGGCGGACGGGUGAGUAACACGUGGAUAACCUACCUAUAAGACUGGGAUAACUUCGGGAAACCGGAGCUAACACCGGAUAAUAUAUUGAACCGCAUGGUUCAAUAGUGAAAGACGGUUUUGCUGUCUCUUAUAGAUGGAUCCGCGCCGCAUUAGAUAGUUGGUAAGCUACCGGCUUAUCAAGGCAACGAUGCGUAGCCGACCGGAGAGAGUGAUCGGCCACACUGGAACGGAGACGCGGUCCAGAGUCCUACGGGACGGAGCAGUAGGGAAUCGUACGCAAUAGGCGGAAGCCUGGCAGAGCAACGCCGCGUGAGUGAUAGAGGUCUUCGGAUCGUAAAACUCUGUUAUGGGGGAAGAACAAAUGUGGAAGUAAAUAUGCACGUAUUGACGGUACCGGAUCAGAAAGCAACGGCUAACUACGUG